rnacentral:lncRNA from 1 species
GGAAUUCUCCCAACAAAGGCGGACGAACUUCCCACCCCGUUUCAAGAUGCUACCAGGUGCGAGAAGCAUGAAACUGUUUUCUCAGCGUCCUCUUUUAAGCAUCAAUCAACGUCUCUGUAUUAAGCUCAGCUUUUCUUCCGUACCUGAAGCCAAGGUACGAGUAAACCGUAUCUUAGUUUUGGCUGUUUAGUUGCUCAGAAAUAUGCGGAAUCAACCUCGCGAAUGUUGGAAUUUUUUAGUUAUCGAGAGUCAGUAAGCUAUUUAGUACUUACGUACUUCAUAGUCAUGCGAGAGACCGAGAAGACAAAAGUGGAAGAAGAAGAUAGGAUUUCAUAAUUAUUCAAUCUAUGAUGUAGGGUAGCGGGGAAGUUUUUAGGAGAACAGAAGAAAAGAAGCUAAAGCCUGCGGCGAAUUUUUAGUUAUAUGAAUCUGAUCCGACUGCUUCUAAUAUAGGCUUAGUUCGUCUAUAAACUGGCGAUGACAAGAAGUAUUAAUUUUAACAUUUGUUUUGCUGGUUGGUUGCUGUGAAAAUAUAGGACGAGAAGCUGAUUAAAUUUUUAGUUAUCUGGCUUGGUAGGGGUUUCCGUUUAUAUUAUUUUUUGGUUAGUGGGUUUUAGCUGGUAGUUGAGGUAAUAAAUUAAUUUGGUUCUCUCUUUGAGAAAAUGAACUUUGCGACAUAUUCUGUUUUC